rnacentral:rRNA from 1 species
AUGCUUUAUUGUGUUCUUCGUCAAACAAAAAUCGCUACAGACAGGGACUGGCAUGGACAUCGUGGACUUUCACAACACGGCCUGCAGCACAGUUCCAACGUGCUCUGCUCCUCGGACUCUGUCUGUCUGUACAACAUCAACAACAGCCUGAUGGUUGCCUCCGGGCCAUGGCAUGGCAGGACAUGCAGGUUCCUAUUCAAUGGAGACAUAUGGAGGCGCUGGCCUGUCGCACGCUCGCUGGACACACAUGAGCAGCCACAUGGUGACUGUCUUCACGGGAGUUUUCUUUCUCCCAAGAGCGCCAGCUGCCUGAAGGGACAAAACUAUGGAGGGGCGGUGAAGAGAUGA